GUCCAUCCGGCCGCCCCAACCCCAAGAUUCCCCGCGAAUUACUCCGCCUCAACGACGCGCCCUAGCCGAACCAGCGCCACAGGGUCGCAGGCGGAGAGGGCGAGGCUGAGUCGCGAACGGCGGCGGGGCGCGAUCUGGCAGCGCUGCGACCGGGCGUGAUCUGGAAAAUCGGUGGGACGUCGCCGUGCGGUGCUGGUGGUGGUGUUGUCGAUGUCGGGGAUGGCACUCCGCGGCCCGGAUGCUGCGUUCGUUCUUCCCAUGCACUUCCCUUCUCCCUCGGCUUCUUGUACGCCUGAUUCGUCCUCGACCGCCUGGUAUACAAGGAGCAAAUGAUGUUUCAGUGAUACAAAAGGGUUGAUAUUGGUUCUGGUAUGUUCAUAGGUUUAUGCGGUACAUAUAUACUGGCAUAAUACUUGCUGAAGCACCUAUCUAGCUUCCUUGCCUUGCUAUUCUAGCACCAGCCUCGCUGCCGUGGAGGUUUGCUCUGAUUUGCAUGCGUUGUUGUUUCAUUUAUGCUUGAUUUGCUUAUGGAAAAUGCAAUUUGAUGCUUGCAUGAUUGGUAGAUGAAAUCCUGAUGUAGAAACACAUAACUGUUUUUCAUGGGUUCACAUAUGUGACAAUUAGCGUUAGUUUGCUCUCGGAUAGGAAUUCUCAGCCUUUGGUUUAGGUAUAUCUUAUAUAAUUGUUCUUUUCCUAUUAAUGGUGAUAUUUGGAUGAGUUCUUCUUUGUAAUUGGUUGCAUAAUAUGGUUGUAUAGAUCAUUAUGAAGUAAAUAACUUUUGGGGAAUUCUCUGCUUUACCUAUGAAGAGGUGGGAUCCAGAGAUGAAAGCUAGCUUCAAUUGGCAUGUAGUAAGACCAAAUGGCAGUUUGGACCAUGAGCUUGCGGAUGCUAAAGAAAUUCUUAGGUGCGUACUCUGAAAUAGAAGCAUUCAAGAAGUUCACUAGGCCAGAAUGCUUCCAAGCCGGUCUUGAUGAUACCUCUUGUGAGAUGCCAAAGUUGAGUCAGGAAUUUUCAGUUGCUUGGAUGGGUAAUUAAUACUAAAAAUAAUCAAUAAGGGAGAUAGUUCAUAGUUCAUAGACUCAUAGAAUCUGCAAGUUAAAGGCUGCAAAUUGCUUGAUAUCUCUUAUGCGGAGCGUACUCUCAUCAAUACUUUAAUUGUUUCUUGAUCCACCUGCUGUUUUAUGGCAUUAAUCUUAGCAUAUUGGACUUCAUACUGUUUCAUGACUGAAAAGUACUGAUCUGUUUAGCACCCUGAUUUAUAUACCCCGCUCACAAAACUGCAGGAAUCGGACAGAUGCUGAUGAACUUCUGUAGAGGGACAGCAGAUGCUUGUGGAUGACUUCCUGCUUGAGGGCCACAAUCUCCCCGGCUAAAUCUAUGAUGGACUACAGAACUGCAAGGUCACGUCUAAGAACACAGGCAUAAUUCAAGAUGCAGAUGAGCAUUCUAGAAAGAGAACAAACGAAAGCUACAAUGCAGAACAGGUUGGGUGGUUUAAGGUGGUGUUGCUGUGGGACAUUGCAACUGCUCCAGAUCGAUUCAAGCUUCAUUUGAAUGUUUUAGUUCAUCUAUGCUUUUGAUUAUAUUUAGAAUAAUGGGGUUAUACUUAUUCCUGAAGGCCUUGUGGGGAGUAUUCUGAAUUGCAUUCAUUGCUCCAAGCACCUGUUUAUAUCUCUUACAAGACGAGGAGAUUUAUACCUGUUUGCUCAAGUAUUUUCACGAAACUA